ACUGAAUGCUGGCUGCAGGCCUAAAACAUGCAAGUCGAGCGAGGGGCGGCCGUGUGAGUAACGGAUGGGGACUGCCCGAUAGAGGGGGAUAACUACCGGAUACGGCGGCAAAUACCGCACACUGCCGGAAGAACCAUAUGGGAUUAGCUCGUAGGUUAGGGAAUGGCUUACCUAGGUGACGAACCCUAGCUGGUCUGAGAGGAUGAUUAGCCACACUGGGACUGAGACACGGCCCGGACUCCUACGGAGGCAGCAGUGGGGAAUAUUGCGCAAUGGGCGCAAGCCUGAUGCAGCCAUGCCGCGUGUAUGAAGAAGGCCCUAGGGUUGUAAAGUACUUUCAGUCGGGAGGCGUUACCGACAGAAGAAGCACCGGCUAACUCCGUGCCAGCAGCCGCGGUAAUAC
rnacentral:rRNA from 1 species